rnacentral:rRNA from 1 species
UACGGGGGGAGCGAACGUUGUUCGGAAUCACUGGGCGUAAAGGGCGCGUAGGCGGCUUCGUAAGUGAGAUGUGAAAGCCCCUGGCUCAACCAGGGAAAUGCGUCUCAUACUGCGGGGCUUGAGUGCAGGAGAGGAUGGGGGAAUUCCCGGUGUAGCGGUGAAAUGCAUUGAUAUCGGGAGGAACACCAGUGGCGAAAGCGGCUCACUAGACAGUAACUGACGCUGAUGCGCGAAAGCUAGGGGAGCAAACAGG